GACCUUCGUGGUGCGUUGGGAUUGGAAGCGGCGUAGGUAAGGGGUGGAGAGUAAGGGAGUCGGCGGCGUGAGAGGUAGCUGUACCAGUAGCGCGAUGUUCGUCGUGGCGACGGAGGGUUACAACGGCGGGGCCUAGGGGGUGGGUGCGGCGACGGUGGCGGGAGCGUAGGGGGUGGGUACGGUGGCAGAAGCGUAUGGGGUAGGUGCGGUAGCAGCCUCCAGUUGCCGCUUAAACCUCCGCUGGAGGCGCUUGGCGGACCGCUAGAGCGGAGGCAGGUGUCGUGUGUUAGCUAUAACGCCGUCGUCCAAGCAAGUGGUAUCGGCGACGCGACCACCCCACUCGGACCGGAAUGGACGGCAAGUUUAGAGCAACGGAUACCACACGGGGGCGGUGGCGCCCGACAGGAUGUCAACAUCACCGCUUUAUACCAUGUUCUGCCUUACCUUUCUUUUGAGAACACGAACUUCCCUCGCCUUCGCCUACAAUAACCCCAGUCGCAGUGGCAGUUCUCCCACGAAAAAACCGAGUGAUGAUUUCCUUUUACCAAUGACACAUGAUGAGAACGUGAGUGUUAAAAUCUCUGCACACAAAACGUUCGAUUUUCCUAGAUAACGAUCUUAGCUUCUGUAUAAGGGUACAUACAUACAUACGUACUACCUAACAACGGGAAAACCGACACUCCAUCAUGACUUGAACACUCGGAUGUUUACAUAAACAUACAUACAUACAACACUACAUCAUGAUUUACAUAUAGAUACAUACAUACUACACUACAUCAUGACCUGAACACUUGGAUGUUUACAUAUGGAUACAUACAUACGUUUGUACUACAUAACAACUCUAUAUAAUACUACUUUGAAAUUAAUGGGAUGUACACACUACAAGUU
rnacentral:rRNA from 1 species